rnacentral:rRNA from 1 species
AGCGAACGCUGGCGGCAGGCCUAACACAUGCAAGUCGAGCGCCCCGCAGGGGGAGCGGCAGACGGGAGAGUAAUACGUGGGAACGUACCCUUUAGUUCGGAACAACCCAGGGAAACUUGGGCUAAUACCGGAUACGUCCGUAAGGAGAAAGAUUUAUCGCUAAAGGAUCGGCCCACGUCUGAUUAGCUAGUUGGUGAGGUAACGGCUCACCAAAGCGACGAUCAGUAGCUGGUCUGAGAGGAUGAUCAGCCUCACUGGGACUGAGACACGGCCCAGACUCCUACGGGAGGCAGCAGUGGGGAAUAUUGGACAAUGGACGCAAGCCUGAUCCAGCCAUGCCGCGUGGGUGAUGAAGGCCCUAGGGUUGUAAAGCCCUUUCGGCGGGGAAGAUAAUGACGGUACCCGCAGAAGAAGCCCCGGCUAACUUCGUGCCAGCCGCCGCGGUAAUAC